rnacentral:SRP_RNA from 1 species
UGCAGCCGGGGAGUUAGCGGUGCCCUGUACCUGCAAUCCGCUAUAGCAGGGGUGUUGUCCCGCCCAGGGUCUUUUGAUGGAGAGCCGCCCGGGAUAAGCGGCGUUGACGUUCGGGUCUUAUGCAACAGGAACUUGUGAACCGUGUCAGGUCAGGAAUGAAGCAGCACUAAGCAAAUCAUCCUGUGUGUCAUGAGGGUGCCUGAGCCGAGCUGGCUGUUUUGGUAACGUCUUUGGAUUGAGAUUCAAAGCGGGGCGCACG